rnacentral:lncRNA from 1 species
UUGUUGUGCACUGUAGCUCCGCCGUCUCUAUGAAGAAGACGGUGGAAACCACCACUCCCUCUGCCGUCUGCAAAUGCUAGGGUUUUCCCUGUGUGAUGCCUUGUCACUGCUUGCAUGGCUCCUUCGUGGCGAAUCCAUUGGUUGUUGUUCUGUUGACUUUUCCACGCGCGCAUUGAAUCUGAGUUGGCAUGCCAACUCAAUUAGUGAAACGACUGUGUUUUGCUAAGCGCGCGCUUGUACACGGUUCGAUUCUCACUGGCAGCGUUUUUU